rnacentral:rRNA from 1 species
UACGAAGGGGGCUAGCGUUGUUCGGAAUCACUGGGCGUAAAGGGCGCGUAGGCGGCUUUAUAAGUCGGGGGUGAAAGCCUGUGGCUCAACCACAGAAUUGCCCUUCGAUACUGUAGAGCUUGAGACCGGAAGAGGUAAGUGGAACUGCGAGUGUAGAGGUGAAAAUUCGUAGAUAUUCGCAAGAACACCAGUGGCGAAGGCGGCUUACUGGUCCGGUUCUGACGCUGAGGCGCGAAAGCGUGGGGAGCAAACAGGG